rnacentral:ncRNA from 1 species
CAAAAUGCGUCGAUGGACUUCAGUAGCGGGAAGAUGCAGGGAACAGAGAGCCGAUGGCGGGUGUGAAUCGGUGCCGGUCUCCUCAGCGAAAUACCGUCCGGAGCAGAGAUUGUGAACACGAGAGCAGCCGGUCGUAUCAUCCGGAACGGCUUGACGACCGCCGCCUGGACAGGAUCGAGCGGAAGUUUCUUUCAGUAGCUUUCUUCCGGGAUCUUUCCCGUUAUCCGAAUGAAGUGAAAGCGCCUGCCCGGCCGUAUGCCGAUGAAGGUGCUUUAAUUAGGGUGGUACCGCGAGUUUAAAGCCUUCUCGUCCCUUGU